UUUCUUUUACAAAAUUCUUUAACAUCAACAUCAAUAUUUUGCAGUGUAAUAAAGGUACAAUUUUUAAAGUCUUCUGGAAUUAAAAUGCAGCUGCAUGUGACUUUCAAAAACAGAAGUGGUAUUCUAAAUGAAUCCCUUGAAUUCCUUGAAAUUCUUUAUUUUCUCUGUAAUGUUUCUUGACAUCAGCUUUCAGUUUCAUCUAAUGCAGAAAAAACCCUUGUCAAAAUCCUGCUGGUACUUUGGUAAGUGAGUAGGCAAGUUUAAACCAUGUUAUAACAUUAAUCCAGAACUUUCUUUUUAUUUCUGUAUACAAAUUUAAUUAUUACAUACUUGUUACAACAUAGACAGAUUCAGUUUAUCUUACCUUUGUAUUGAAGAUGUGUCACAAUAUCCUAACUUGUAAAAGCUGAAAAAUGAAGAACUGCAGUCCCUGGCACCAAAAAGAUCUAUAAGCAUUCAAGAAUGUAGAAUAAAUAAAUACCUCUCCUACCAAAGUGACUUUUGCUACCGCCUCAUCUUCAGUAGUAUCCUAACCUUUCUUCUUCCACCCAUAAGCUAAUUUAAUUUGAAGUAAACCCUUAUAUUCUUGGUCUUGCUUCCGUCCUACAGCCACUUUAAAAUUCUCCCCUAUCUGCUUUAAAAUGCCCAUAUCACACCAGACAAAGUUUGUUAGAUUAUCUGUUUGCCACUUUCUCUAACAAAACAAAUUAACCCUUUCCACUGAAAGAACCUAUGAGCUUCUGGGACACAAAUAAUGUUGUAAAAUCAUCAAGUCACUAGAAGGAUCUUUUGAAGACAGCCAUGGCUAUACUUAUAAUUUUACAGACUGGCACAAACAUAUCAUCUUUCCAAGUCUGUGAUUAAGUACCAGGCAGCAUCAAAGGUUUCCAUACGUAAUUCAAAACACAGGCAUGGAGUUCUCUCUGGUUUCAUAGUCCAUACUGGUAUAAAACCUGGUUAUCUAUUAACUUAGUGAUAGCUACCUGUCUUACACGAUUGUGAUAAGUCCCAUGGGCUUUACAGAAUCCUCUAUAGAGAAAAAUAACAAAUACUGCAAGUUAGGUGGAUUAUUUAAGCAAAUAUUUUGAAAAUACCUUUACAAGGGCCAGAUGAGACAAUAACCAUAGAAAUUACAGGAAGUGGAAACAGAAAAUAUGAGUCUGGAAUAGAAACCUUAAGAGGAAGAAAGAGAGCAGGUUUUACUGUCCACCAGUGUUACUAUUUCCCUGUGUCCAAGAUACAGUAAAGAAUGGCAACAACAACAGUCAAUCCAUAAAAGCAUGACAUCAUCCUUGUUACUUCUUUCUUUCAAAAAAAAUUUUGCCUCAGUUGCCUGGUGGAUGUCCUCAUUCAUCCUAAUGCAUUAGUUUUUAUGACAGGACUUGCAUUACUGUUUUAUUCUAACAGAAUGGGAGACAAGCAGCAGAUGCUGGUUGUAAUAUCACCCCUAAUAUCAGAUGUUUCUGUACUUCCUCACAAGUGUUUGUCUUCCACAUGGCUGACAGCUGAAUUCUGUUCAAAAAGGAUGAUUAAGACUGCAAUAGAUCCUUUGGUGCUUUUCCAGCUAAAAAGAGAGGAGUGAGGACUACAAAGAGUUUCUAUAUUUCUUAAUCUAACUGUAAGUCCCAAAAUGCACAUUCAUGUCUCUUCCACAGAAUGGCAAGGAAAUUUUACAACAGCUGCAAGCUCCUGGGUAGCAGAAUGGUUAUACAUGGAGACAGAACAAUGAAAACUGGGAAGAAUCUGGGAACAGCAACAGCAGAACCAGCAACCUAAUGUUUUUUUUUUUUUAAUUCCUUGUAAGGAUUAGAAAUUAUUAAUCAGCUAACUCAAUGAAAACUGUAAUGAAAUCAACAAGUACAAAGGCAUAUGUGAUGUUCUAAAACAGAAAAGCUCAGCUCUUUAGUGUUUCAAACUAAAAUACAGCUCCAUGUACUGUUUAGGGAAUUGGGUAUUGCUGUGACUAGGGUGUGCAAGGAAUAAAUAAAUCAAGCCAGUUUCAAGCUGCGAAAGAAGUACUGAAGUUCAUAAGCAGUUCAGGUUGCUAAUAGCUAGUUCUCAAUUACUAUCAUGAUCACUACAUAUACAAAACCAUUAGUCCUUAAAACAUCUAUCCCAGAUGAGCUGCAAGUACACAAUGCAGUGGAGUUGAUGCCGUGCAGUGAGUGCUGAUGGCUCCAUCCUUGGUGGUCCUUGGUCACCAGGAUAAGGAUAACCAGGCUCGAGAGCUUCUUGCAGGCAGUUGCUUUCUUCACUCAGUUUAUGUUUUAUACUCUCUAAGCCCAGCGCAAAAGAAAAGGAAGUGAUCUCAUUUGUUCUUGCUGACUUAUUUUGGGAGUUGGGAUGUCUGGGUUUUUGCUUAUUUUACAGGUGUCACCAGACACCUUUCUUGCCUGCUCUGCAUCUUUCUCCUUCUGUUUUUUGUUUGGUGACAGGUUUCUAAUUGUAAUUUCUUAGGUAAGCUUCAUUUUGCUCAUUUAAUGAGGCUUUAAAAUAGCUGGAAAGAAUGAACUAGGAAACUGUGAGCUGUACAGGAUUGUUUCAGUUGCUGUCAAAAAUCACAGAGCGAGUCUUCCUGAAACAUAUUUCUUGCCAUAUGAAGAAGAAGGUGAUUAGGUGACACAGGUUCUAUGAGCCUGUAGUCACUGAUUUAAGUAAAAUGGCUGGAACUGCAUCGUAUGGCCUAGAUAUAAUCUGCUUUUGAGCUGUGUCAGCUAUCAGCCAACACUUAAAUGCAAUCUAAAAUAAAACAGUGUGUUUAAAUGAAAGCAGCAAACAUCUGAGGAUUAACUGUAGAUGGAAAAUCUCUGCUUCAGAGGUGGGGUGGGUCCUUGGUAAAGUAUCUCCCAUCUCGCUUUAAUCCACACCUGCAUAUCUAUCCAAGUCCUCAACAUAUGAAUUUUGGGUACCUCUGUCCUGUGAAAUCCACAGUCCUCAAACUGAUG